CCCAUUGUCACAUUCUAAACGCCUCAGCUGUAAAGGACGGAAUUGCAACUUUGUCAUUAAUCUUCCUCUAAUCCUCCCUUUGCUUUCAUUUUCUUUUCAAGCCUUCAACUUUUAUUAUAGUUGAGUGUAGUAGUGGUUCAACUGAGAUUGAGAGGGAAAUGGAGAAAUUCCCAGUUAUAGAUCUGAACCCAUACUUGGAGUGGGAACAAAGCGGGAAUGGCAACGAGGCAGAAAUGAAAAAGCUGUGUUUGGAGGUUAGCCGGACUCUGCAGGAGACAGGAGCUUUACUGGUAAAAGAUCCCAGAUGUUCUGCUCAAGACAAUGAUCGUUUUCUUGACAUGAUGGAGAAGUAUUUCGAGCAAACCCCGGAAUUCAAGCGCCUUCAAGAACGCCCUCUUUUGCAUUACCAGGUUGGAGUUACGCCGGAAGGAGUUGAAGUCCCCCGAAGUUUGGUGGAUGCAGAAAUGCAACAGAAUCUUAAAGCUAUGUCGCCCCAAAAUCAGCCAUCCACCCCAACUGGGCCUGAUCCUAAGUGGAGAUAUAUGUGGAGGAUUGGUCCUCGUCCGUCGAAUACUCGCUUCAAGGAAUUAAAUGCUGAGCCCGUAAUUCCUGAAGGAUUCCCAGAAUGGAAAGAGACCAUGGAUUCUUGGGGUCUUAAAAUGAUAUCAGCUAUAGAGGUUGUUGCAGAAAUGGCCGCUAUCGGAUUUGGCUUGCCUAAGGAUGCUUUCACUUCUUUGAUGAAGCAGGGGCCUCACCUUCUUGCUCCAACGGGUAGUGACCUUCAUCAUCAUGGACAGGAGGGGACUGUAUUUGCAGGAUAUCACUACGACCUUAACUUCUUAACUAUCCAUGGGAGGAGUAGGUUUCCAGGUCUGAACAUUUGGCUUAGAAAUGGAGAAAAGGUGGAAGUCAAAGUUCCUGUUGGAUGCCUUCUUAUUCAGACUGGAAAACAGAUUGAAUGGCUGACUGGCGGCGAAUGCAUUGCCGGAAUGCAUGAGGUUGUUGUGACCAAAAGGACUCUUGAAGCAAUUAGAUUAGCAUCUGAACAAAGGUGCAGUCUGUGGAGGGUAUCUUCAACUUUGUUUGCACAUGUUGCAUCAGAUGCUGUUCUAAAGCCACUAGGCCAUUUUGCUAACUCUGCACUUGCAAGUAUGUAUCCUCCCAUGUGUGCUGGGGAAUUUGUUGAAAAGGAGCUUGCUGUGAUUAAUCUAAAAGGAAACAAAAGAGAUUCUUCAACGUAGUCAGAGCAUAACAUGAUACUAUCCAGCUUACAAACAUGAAACAUUAUCUGAAGAUUUUUUAGCAGAUGUCCAGGUGAGUUAGCAAGGAGGUAAUAUUGGGCAGGGAGAGCUCUGAAGAUAAUGUAAUAAAUAAUAGAAUUCUUAGAAAUGCCACUGAUAAUAUUUCCAUAUAAUGCAUGAAUGCAUGAUGUAAUAAGGGGGAGAAUACAUAUUAGCUUGUUUUAAAAUUUCAUCCCCUUUGCAUGUCUACUUUUUCAGGCAGGUUCUCAUAUUUUAGCUUGUGUUUGAGAUCCUGGAAAAUAUUAGGGUGUUGCAACUGAGUACUGAGUACACAAUAUUUAUGCUCAAAUAUAUCAACAGAUAUAUGGCUAUUUGGCCAACUAUUAGCUA